rnacentral:rRNA from 1 species
ACUUCGUGCCAGCAGCCGCGGUAAUACGAAGGGACCUAGCGUAGUUCGGAAUUACUGGGCUUAAAGAGUUCGUAGGUGGUUGAAAAAGUUAGUGGUGAAAUCCCAGAGCUUAACUCUGGAACUGCCAUUAAAACUUUUCAGCUAGAGUAUGAUAGAGGAAAGCAGAAUUUCUAGUGUAGAGGUGAAAUUCGUAGAUAUUAGAAAGAAUACCAAUUGCGAAGGCAGCUUUCUGGAUCAUUACUGACACUGAGGAACGAAAGCAUGGGUAGCGAAGAGGAUUAGAUACCCUCGUAGUCCAUGCCGUAAACGAUGUGUGUUAGACGUUGGAAAUUUAUUUUCAGUGUCGCAGCGAAAGCGAUAAACACACCGCCUGGGGAGUACGACCGCAAGGUUAAAACUCAAAUGA